UACGUAGGGUGCGAGCGUUAAUCGGAAUUACUGGGCGUAAGGGCUCGUAGGCGGCCAACUAAGUCAGACGUGAAAUCCCUCGGCUUAACCGGGGAACUGCGUCUGAUACUGGAUGGCUUGAGAUUGGGAGAGGGAUGCGGAAUUCCAGGUGUAGCGGUGAAAUGUGUAGAUAUCUGGAGGAACACCAGUGGCGAAGGCGACUCACUGGACACGUAUUGACGCUGAGGUGCGAAAGCGUGGGGAGCAAACAGG
rnacentral:rRNA from 1 species